rnacentral:rRNA from 1 species
GACGAACGCUGGCGGCGUGCUUAACACAUGCAAGUCGAGCGGUAAGGCCCUUUCGGGGUACGACGAGCGGCGAACGGGUGAGUAACACGUGGGUGACCUGCCCUCAGCUCUGGGAUAAGCCUGGGAAACCGGGUCUAAUACCGGAUAUGACUCCAUGACGCAUGUUGUGGGGUGGAAAGCCUUGUGCGGCUGAGGAUGGGCCCGCGGCCUAAUCAGCUUGUUGGUGGGGUGAUGGCCUACCAAGGCGACGACGGGUAGCCGGCCUGAGAGGGCGACCGGCCACACUGGGACUGAGACACGGCCCAGACUCCUACGGGAGGCAGCAGUGGGGAAUCUUGCGCAAUGGGCGAAAG